rnacentral:rRNA from 1 species
AACGCGAAGAACCUUACCAGGGCUUGACAUCCUGCGCCAUCCUAGGAGACUAGGUUUUCUAGCAAUAGAACGCAGAGACAGGUGCUGCAUGGCUGUCGUCAGCUCGUGCCGUGAGGUGUUGGGUUAAGUCCCGCAACGAGCGCAACCCUUGCCGUGUGUUGGUCGCAAGAUCUCUCACGCGGGACCGCCGGUGACAAGCCGGAGGAAGGUGGGGAUGACGUCAAGUCAGCAUGGCCCUUACGUCCUGGGCUACACACGUGCUACAAUGGGGCGGACAACGAGUCGCGAACCCGCGAGGGCAAGCUAAUCUCAUAAACCGCUCCUCAGUUCGGAUUGGAGGCUGCAACUCGCCUCCAUGAAGUCGGAAUCGCUAGUAACCGCAGAUCAGCUACGCUGCGGUGAAUACGUUCCCGGGCCUUGUA